GGCGCACGGGUGAGUAACGCGUGGAUAAUCUACCCGAUGGACCGGGAUAACAUUUCGAAAGGGGUGCUAAUACCGGAUAAGACCACGGGCUCUUCGGGGUCUGGGGAAAAGGGUGGGGACCUUCGGGCCUACCGUCAUCGGAUGACUCCGCGUACCUUUAGCUAGUUGGGGGGGUAAGAGCCUACCAGGGCGACGAUGGUUAGCUGGUCUGAGAGGAUGAUCAGCCACACUGGAACUGAGACACGGUCCAGACUCCUACGGGAGGCAGCAGUGGGGAAUUUUGCGCAAUGGGGGAAACCCUGACGCAGCAACGCCGCGUGAGUGAUGAAGGCCUUCGGGUCGUAAAGCUCUGUCAGAGGGGAAAAAAUGCGGGGGCGCUAAUAUCGCUUAUGCUUGACGGUACCCUCAAAGGAAGCACCGGCUAACUCCGUGCC
rnacentral:rRNA from 1 species